CUCCUAUCUCGAGUUUUCACCAUGGCUUACCAACAUUUUCAAUAAAAACUUUUGAUUCAUUUAGGCUAUAUGAUUCUGGGGCAUGAGUCACUUCCUCAUGGCUUAUUACUAUCCCAGCUAUCUGCAUUUUUAUUUCCCAUAAUAAAUAAAACAAGAAAAGUUAUUUUUUAUUCAGUUGCAUGAAGGGUUGUGUAUUUUGAUGGAAAUUAUCGAGUGUAAAUUUAUAUACAUUUAUUAGACCUAACCAGGCUAGCUUCAAGUCAAGUAUUGAAUCCUAAUCUUAUCCUAAUCUUGACUGUUUUAUUUUACUUGUGGAUUCUCAUUUUGUAAUAUGGAAAAUGACAAAGAUUUGAACGUGCCAAAGGCGUGCGAUUAUAUGGCUUAUAGUCUAAUAAUGAAUAUGUAAUAAAUUCGAAAUUACUGUUCACUAUUGUUUCUUCAAAUAUUAAGUUUCAAAAACUUUUGUUCGGCGCUUUUUUCGCACCAACUGUUUUUCUUUUUCUUUUUUUUUUCUUUUAAUACAGACUGGCUUCCCUAUUAACUCAUGCUAUCUCUUCGGAUUAUUGGAGACGGGCGAGAGCAAAUUCUUCUACUACCCCCUCUCUAAAUGCUGUGAACAAUGUCGCCUUCCCAAAUUCGUGAACUGCAUUAAGAGCCACCACCCCUACGUUUGUGCGAGUCGCGCGCACGCAUGUACCUGUAAGUGUCGCGAAAAACACCUGAGAGUACUGGAAAGAUCCACGAAUUCAAGGUCCAGAAGUAUAGAGGCCCAGAGGUUCAAAGGUCCAAGAAUUUGCGAGAUGAAGACGUGCGAUUCCAAACAGUGCUGCGUUGACAAUCAAUGUGUUAUGAUGAAUGUCCAAAAAGAUCACACAUAAUAUGAAGAACAAGUACAAAGGAAAACAUCUCACAUUUUCUAAACCAGUUAACUGUUUAUUAACUUUAUUUAAAAAAAAAACUGUCCAGUUCUCAUUUCCGCAUAAGCUUUAAAUUACUUAGUAAUUAGUAUAGAAAUACGAAGCAUAUAUUAAUCAACGGUAAACUGCACUGCAACUAGAGUAUGAAUAAACUUUACUUAGUAGAAAUACAAAGCACAUUAAUCAAUGGUGAACUGCAAUGAAGAAUAUGACUUGAAUGCGCAAUCUUAUAUGAUAAUAAUUGACAGUUAUGGUUGGUUUUCCAUCGCGUGAGAUACAUGAAUAAUUUGUAAAAAUAUUACAGUCUUUAAUUUGGUACUAUUUAAAACACGAGUAGGAGUGUUUUAUCACAUAUAAAACGCGAGAUCUGAUAAAACACGACAACGAGUGUUUUGAAUAGCUUAAAAUACGACUAGAAAAGAAUAGUAAUUAGGAUGAAGAAUUGUAUAAUCAUGCUAAUUAGGAU